rnacentral:rRNA from 1 species
CACCGGCAGCUCUAGUGGUAACAAUUUUUAUUGGGCCCUAAAGCGUCCGUAGCCGGUUUAAUAAGUCUCUGGUGAAAUCCUGCAGCUUAACUGUGGGAAUUGCUGGAGAUACUAUUAGACUUGAGACCGGGAGAGGUUAGAGGUACUCCCAGGGUAGAGGUAAAAUUCUGUAAUACUGGGAGGACCGCCUGUUGCGAAGGCGUCUAACUGGAACGGUUCUGACGGUGAGGGACGAAAGUUAGGGGCGCGAACCGGAUUAGAUACCCUGGUAGUCCCUGAGCGGGCUGGCAAGG